CAUAAAAUAUUGUUGAAUACUAGAUUCUGGGCUCUGAGUUGAAAACGUUGCACUCUUUCACUCGAUUUCAGGCCCAGCUUUCAGCCUCCCUUUCACCUUUAAUGGGACUGUACUGGGCAUACACUUGGCAAGAUCCUUCAGCCACUGCGGACUUCUGGUGAAGAGGAGUUUUCAGCUAUCAAGAUUUCAAAGUAAAAGCUGCCCAAGGCAGAUGGAGGAAUGGAAACUGAGAAAGCAUCAUAGGCUCAUGUCUAACAACAUGAACAGACUCUGGAACCUCAGAAGUAAAAUGCAAAGGCGAGGACAGCCCAGGAGGAAGCUCCACUCCUGCCUAAGGACCCCAAAGCACUCAAACGCUAUCUUCUGAAGGACUUUGGGAGACAAUAGAGGUUUGCAUGGCUGCAAUGAAAAUUGGUUAGAUGGUAUGACAUUUUGUCCAGUCAGUCUACUAUGUUUUGAUUCCUUUAUAUUUAGUGUCCCUUCACCCCACUUCUUUUCAAAAGAAGACUAGCUUUCUUGAGAACACAGAGCAUCUGCCAUGGAGAUGUUGUGAGCACCAGAGCAGCCCAAGGCUGUUGAGUAACACCUGCCUGCAGCUGGACUCAAGAUGGGACUGGGUUCUGAGAAAGACUGCACACUCUCCCUAUUGGAAAGACAGACAUCAUUUCGGGAAAUAUUCAAUAAAAAGUUUCUGAGACACA
rnacentral:lncRNA from 1 species